rnacentral:rRNA from 1 species
GAUGAACGCUGGCGGCGUGCCUAACACAUGCAAGUCGAGCGAUUUACUUCGGUAAAGAGCGGAGGACGGGUGAGUAACGCGUGGGUAACCUGCCCUGUACACACGGAUAACAUACUGAAAGGUAUGCUAAUACGGGAUAACAUAAGAGAGUCGCAUGGCUUUCUUAUCAAAGCUUUUGCGGUACAGGAUGGACCCGCGUCUGAUUAGCUAGUUGGUAAGGUAACGGCUUACCAAGGCGACGAUCAGUAGCCGACCUGAGAGGGUGCUAGGCUCCAAUGGAACAGAGAAACGUUCCAAACUCGUAAGGUAGGCAGCAGUGGGGAAUUUGCCACAAUGGGCGAAAGUCUGAUGCAGCAACGCCGCGUGAGAUAUUACUGCCUUCGGAUCGUACAGCUAUGUCCUCAAGGGAGAUAAUGACAGUACUUGAGGAGGAAGCCCCGGCUAACUACGUGCCAGCCGCCGCAGUAA